rnacentral:rRNA from 1 species
AACAAACGCUGGCGGCGUGCCUAAUACAUGCAAGUCGAACGGGGUAGCAAUACCUAGUGGCGCACGGGUGAGGAACGCGUGGAUAAUCUGCCUUAGAGUGGGGGAUAACUAGUCGAAAGAUUAGCUAAUACCGCAUAAGACCACAGGAGCUGCGGCUCUAGGGGUCAAAGGUUUUUCGCUCUAAGAUGAGUCCGCGUAAGAUUAGCUAGUUGGUGAGGUAACGGCUCACCAAGGCGACGAUCUUUAACUGGUCUGAGAGGAUGAUCAGUCACACUGGAACUGAGACACGGUCCAGACUCCUACGGGAGGCAGCAGUAGGGAAUAUUGCACAAUGGAGGAAACUCUGAUGCAGCGACGCCGCGUGAGUGAUGAAGGCCUUCGGGUCGUAAAGCUCUGUCGCAGGGGAAUAACACAAUGAAUGUACCCUGUAAGAAAGGAUCGGCUAACUUCGUGCCAGCCGCCGCCGUAACAC